CCUACGGGUGGCAGCAGUGGGGACUAUUGGGCAAUGGGCGCAAGCCUGACCCAGCAACGCCGCGUGAAGGAAGAAGGCUUUCGGGUUGUAAACUUCUUUUAUGAGGGACGAAAGAAAUGACGGUACCUCAUGAAUAAGCCACGGCUAACUACGAGCCAGCAGCCGCGGUAAUACGUAGGUGGCAAGCGUUAUGCGGAUUGACUGGGUGUAAAGGGCGUUUAGGCGGGACGGCAAGGAAGAUGUGAAAAUUAUGGUCUCAACCCAUAACCUGCGUUUGAAACUGUAGGUCUUGAGUGAGGGAGAGGCAGGCGGAAUUCCGGGGGUAGCGGUGAAAUGCGUAGAUAUACGGAGGAAAACCAGGGGCGAAGGCGGCCUGCUGGACAGUAACUGACGCUGAGGCGCGAAAGCGUGGGGAGCAAACAGGAUUAGAUACCCCUGUAGUC
rnacentral:rRNA from 1 species